rnacentral:rRNA from 1 species
AUUGAACGCUGGCGGCAGGCCUAACACAUGCAAGUCGAGCGGUUGAAUGGAGCUUGCUCCUGGUUUCAGCGGCGGACGGGUGUGUAAUUCCUAGUAAUCUGCCUUGUUGUGGUGUAUAACGUCCGUAAACGGGCGCUUAUACCGCAUUCUUCCUGAGUGAGAUAGUUGGUGUUCUUCGUACCUCACGCUUUCUGAUUUGCCUAGGUCGGAUUAGCUAGUUGGUGGGGUAAAGGCCUACCAAGGCUACGAUACGUAACUGGUCUGAGAGGAUGAUCAGUCACACUGGAAGUGAGAAACGGACCAGACUAAUACGGGAGGAAGCAGUGGGGAAUAGUGGACAAUGGGCGAAAGCCUGAUACAGCAAAGCCGAGUGUGUGAAGAAGGUCUUCGGAUUGUAAAGCAAUUUAAGUUGGGAGGAAGGGAAGUAAGUUAAUACCUUGCUGUAUUGACGGUAACAAAAGAAUAAGCACCGGCUAACUACGUG